rnacentral:rRNA from 1 species
UACGUAGGGUGCAAGCGUUGUCCGGAAUUAUUGGGCGUAAAGAGCUCGUAGGCGGUUUGUUGCGUCGGCUGUGAAAUCCCGAGGCUCAACCUCGGGUCUGUAGUCGAUACGAGCAAACUAGAGUGUUGCAGGGGAGACUGGAAUUCCUGGUGUAGCGGUGAAAUGCGCAGAUAUCGGGGAAGAACACCCGGUGGCGAAGGCGGCACUCUGGGACGGUACUGACGCGUGAGACGCGAAAGCGUGGGGAGCGAACAGG